rnacentral:lncRNA from 1 species
AAGACUUUGGCAAAUUCCGUACCUUACGCAAAAAUGCGAUAGUUCCCGUUCUUUCCGACCCCAGUUUGCGAAAACGGCGGUAGCCACACUCGAGGGGCGGGGUCACCGCCGGGUACCAAACUUGCGCGGCCUGGAAAUGCACGUCAAACCAGCAGUUUCAUGGGAAUCGUCUUGAAUGGACCAGUUCCUCUUUCCUUGUUGAGGGUAUCUGGACUGGCAUCAGAGAGCGUGCCUUUCUAGGAGGUCGGACGGCAAAGCAACGUCUUACUGUAUGCGUUCUCUAUCCUGCGUGUUGCCUGCAGGUGUUUGUGGUGCUAUGGUUCGAAGAUGAGUAACUGGAUUGCUCCUGCGGGUAUGCAGAGAACUCAGUCUCCCGACAAAAGUGCUGGCGAAAGGGUUACAUUCAUCCAAAGGGUACUUACAGGAGAGCUCUGCAAGCGUGUCAGCGGUGAUCGGUAUGUGCCAUCGGAAACAAGCAAGCACGACCUAGAGUGUUUUACCGUCGCUGGAUCUUCUCCGCAGGACCCGUAACUAACGCAACUGGGCUGCGGGGUUCAGGGGCGGGCGUGCACCCUUUCGAUCCAGGAGAGAAUUUGUACUGUACAUUUUUGUGAGACUUAUCCUCUCUGCAAACCUGCAUGUGACAGUACGGUGUCUUCAGGCGGUGCAUGGGCAAUCUGUCGUCUACAAAAUAUUUCUCCUCUGCACAACACUGUUUUACAGGACGGUGAUACACCCAUUCAGUCAUCAAAACGAUCAAAGCACAUUCAUGCAACACAACGUCUACAUCGAUGCAUUCGUUUACGUGCGUGGUCACCAUCUGCUGCAUGGCUGAUUUGGGCACUCCGUGAAUCACUCUUCAGCAGAAGCGACAACAGAUCCUCCGCGAGGACUCAUUUCAGUCCGUCAGAGAAACAAUGUAUUCGAAAGCCUGACUUUUCAGCCUCCAAACAUAAAGGAAUCCCACCCUAUUUAUGGUACACAUCUCUUUCUACGAGACUCCGUGCCACUUUGAACCCACUGAAGGCCCUCAGCGACGGAUAUGUUCAUCCUCGCAAAGGAAUACGAUAGAUUUUCCGUCCGCGCUGCAGACUUAAUCUGCGCUUCCGAAGAUCCCCCUUUUCAAUAUAAACUGAAACAUUCAUGGCAUGACGGAUGGGCAAACCCGUUGAUUUGUG